rnacentral:lncRNA from 1 species
UAUCCACGAACUACGGGGCUCUGAUUUUUCACUUCAACAAGUGGGCAUACGUAGGCACGAGGACCCAAAUCCUUGGCGAGCACACUAAUUUAAACUCUACCUCCACGUUGCGAACCUUUGGCAAGCAAACAUUACGAUAACGACACCCACUCAGGCGUAACAUCCUAGAUGGUUCCCAUGGAGUACCAUAGAUGUGAGGGGUGUUAAUACCUUCCCCUUGCAUAGCUGACUUCCGAACCUGCUCAUGGUUGCGAUGACCAUUCUUUGGGGUUUUCUCGAUAUUUUCCCUUUCUUUUGGAAUAAAUAAAAACCGAUGGCGACUCUGUAUUUUUUGCGUAGCGACAAUAUCCAAUAUUUGUUCUUCAACGAUAACAAUGACGAUGAAUCAAAUUCAACAUUUUUACUUUAAUAUCGUGUGUAAACAAUGUAAU